rnacentral:rRNA from 1 species
UGGGGAAUAUUGCUCAAUGGGAGAAAUCCUGAAGCAGCAACGCCGCGUGGAGGAUGAAGGGUCUAUGACUUGUAAACUCCUGUAAAGAAGGAAAAAAUUCCCAUUAGAUGGGAGAUGUUGGUACUUCUGGAGUAAGCCCCGGCUAACUACGUGCCAGCAGCCGCGGUAAUACGUAGGGGGCAAGCGUUGUCCGGAUUUACUGGGUGUAAAGGGUGCUCAGGCGGAUUUGUAAGUCAGAGGUGAAAUCUUACAGCUUAACUGUGAAACUGCCUUUGAUACUGCAAGCCUAGAGUAUGGAAGAGAGUGAUGGAAUAUCUGGUGUAGCAGUGAAAUGCGUAGAUAUCAGAUAGAACACCAAUGGCGAAGGCAGUCACUUGGUCCAUUACUGACGCUAAAGCACGAAAGCGUG